GAUGAACGCUGGCGGCGUGCCUAAUACAUGCAAGUCGAGCGAACGGACGAGAAGCUUGCUUUUCUGAUGUUAGCGGCGGACGGGUGAGUAACACGUGGAUAACCUACCUAUAAGACUGGGAUAACUUCGGGAAACCGGAGCUAAUACCGGAUAAUAUUUUGAACCGCAUGGUUCAAAAGUGAAAGACGGUCUUGCUGUCACUUAUAGAUGGAUCCGCGCUGCAUUAGCUAGUUGGUAAGGUAACGGCUUACCAAGGCAACGAUGCAUAGCCGACCUGAGAGGGUGAUCGGCCACACUGGAACUGAGACACGGUCCAGACUCCUACGGGAGGCAGCAGUAGGGAAUCUUCCGCAAUGGGCGAAAGCCUGACGGAGCAACGCCGCGUGAGUGAUGAAGGUCCUCGGAUCGUAAAACUCUGUUAUUAGGGAAGAACAUAUGUGUAAGUAACUGUGCACAUCUUGACGGUACCUAAUCAGAAAGCCACGGCUAACUACGUG
rnacentral:rRNA from 1 species